rnacentral:rRNA from 1 species
UGCGUAGGCGGCGCGGAAAGUUGGGUGUGAAAUCCCUCGGCUCAACCGAGGAAUUGCGCCCAAAACUUCCGUGCUCGAGGAAGAUAGAGGUGAGCGGAACUUAGGGUGGAGCGGUGAAAUGCGUUGAUAUCCUAAGGAACACCGGUGGCGAAAGCGGCUCACUGGAUCUUUUCUGACGCUGAGGCACGAAAGCUAGGGUAGGCGAACG